rnacentral:rRNA from 1 species
GAUGAACGCUGGCGGCGUGCCUAAUACAUGCAAGUCGAGCGAACAGACGAGGAGCUUGCUCCUCUGACGUUAGCGGCGGACGGGUGAGUAACACGUGGAUAACCUACCUAUAAGACUGGGAUAACUUCGGGAAACCGGAGCUAAUACCGGAUAAUAUAUUGAACCGCAUGGUUCAAUAUUGAAAGACGGUUUUGCUGUCACUUAUAGAUGGAUCCGCGCCGCAUUAGCUAGUUGGUAAGGUAACGGCUUACCAAGGCAACGAUGCGUAGCCGACCUGAGAGGGUGAUCGGCCACACUGGAACUGAGACACGGUCCAGACUCCUACGGGAGGCAGCAGUAGGGAAUCUUCAGCAAUGGGCGAAAGCCUGACGGAGCAACGCCGCGUGAGUGAUGAAGGUCUUCGGAUCGUAAAACUCUGUUAUUAGGGAAGAACAAAUGUGUAAGUAACUAUGCACGUCUUGACGGUACCUAAUCAGAAAGCCACGGCUAACUACGUG